UGGCCACCCAGACUGCUUCUCAGUCCC
rnacentral:piRNA from 1 species